UACGGGGGGAGCAAGCGUUGUUCGGAUUUACUGGGCGUAAAGAGCGCGCAGGCGGUCGUGCAAGUCGCGUGUGAAAGCCCCCGGCUCAACUGGGGAGGGUCACGCGAUACUGUUCGACUCGAAGGCAGGAGAGGGAAGUGGAAUUCCCGGUGUAGUGGUGAAAUGCGUAGAUAUCGGGAGGAACACCAGUGGCGAAGGCGACUUCCUGGCCUGUUCUUGACGCUGAGGCGCGAAAGCUAGGGUAGCAAACGGG
rnacentral:rRNA from 1 species